AAAAGGGGUAUUACUUACCAUUCCGUUAGAAGUAAAAAGGUGAAUGGGGGUCCUCGUGAGCAUUACUUAGUUUGUCUGCUUGUUCACCUUAGGAUUUUAAUUUUUUUAUUUGUAAUAUAUCCAUUUUCAAGUUUUGGUUCUCCAAUUUUGUUUUGCUUUAAAAUGGUCCUAUUGAUUGUUUUUUUCUUUUUCAUUUUAG
rnacentral:lncRNA from 1 species